AAAGCGCACACCGAGUCCGAUCCGAGUCUUGUGUUCGAUUUCAUGCGUGGAAGCGAAGGGUUGGGACGAAGAACGGAAGAAGGCGCGACGAAGUCGAGGCGAUCGUUUGAUGGAUCUCUCCCUACGAUCUAAGCCCACGGUAUCGUCUUUUUUGACCAAAAAUUUCCUCUAUUUUCACCAUGUUUUCCCCGUCUUUCUUCGUCGCUCGAUCUCCUCUGUCUAUCGGCGUCCAUAUGAGAAGAUGUGGAACUUAAUUUCUUGACGGAGGAAACAGAAGAGGGUUAAGGCAAUGAGGAAGAAGCUCGGCGCUCGAUUCCCUGCGAAGAUAAUGCAAGCAGAUGAAGACGUUAGGAAAAUUGCUCUAGCUGUGCCUCUUCUUGUGUCAAAAGCAUUGGAGUUAUUCUUGCAAGACCUCUGUCAUAGGACGUAUGAAAUUAUUCUUCAAAGAGGAGCUAAGACAUUAAAUUCUUCACAUUUGUAAGUACAAAUUAUAGUUUCUUUUCUUUUGUGUAUCUACAGUGGAAUAGUUUGACAGUAAAUCUGAGAUACAGUUUGCCUUUUUUAAUCAUAAGUAAAAAAUAUUUAUUGUCUGUU